GGCUGAUGGCCCCGAGACCCCAGGGUCCGGAUCAUGUCCCAAGACCUCUUCCUGUUCCAAGGAGCGACUUUUCCAGCGAACCAGGAGAAGCUGAGUCAUCCUUCCAUUUAGCUGUAUGAAAAAACCAAACCAAAAAAAAAAAAAAACCCAACAUCAUCUAACUUCAUUCGUAGCAAGAAUUGUCAAAUGAGGAGAUACUUUUCCUUCCAGGAGAUUCGAUUGGCAAGACUUCCAGGAUUCCUCAUGACUCCAGCUUGGAGAAAAUUGUGAUGGUGAGGGCAGCCUGCAGGGAAACCCAAUAGAAAAUAAACAGAUACAUGAGUGUCUCAGUCAGAAAAAGUAGUUUAUAUUACAAUUGCUCAUUGAGGUGUCCCCAUGGAGGGGGAGAGAGGCCAAGGAUGGAGUGAAUGUGAGAGCCUAUAGGAAAGGGUGCCCAGAGACGCAACUCAUUCCAUCGAACCUUUGCAUUGAAUUUGGAGUAUUUGAUCUGAAAAAUCAGAAUGAAAUAAAGGAAACAGAUCUGUGUAAUACAUAAGUGUAGUCAAGAAUGAAUCCACAUGGUGACCUGUAUUCCCAAAUGUUCGUGUGUAGCUUUGUCAAUACCUUGUGUCCCUCUGUGUGUGGGGGUGGGGUGGGGGGGUGUGAAUUACAUACUUUAUAGGUGCUCUGGAACUUGGGCUGGUCAUUGCACUGAUCGGAGUCCUUAAGUCUUUCAAAAGUUGUUUGUCUUUACAUGUUUGUUAUCACUAUAUAAAUUGUUGUCCCAGUUCUAUUUACUUUACUCGGCUUCCAGGCUUUCUCUGGAAAUCUCUUUCUUUAUUCCAAAUUGCAUCCCAGUCCCACCUCAUGUUUGAUUCUAGGUUUCAACUAACUAGCUUCCCAGCUAUUCCCAGAACAAAGCACUUCAAAGCUGUGCCUCAGACAUCUUCAGGAUGCAUUUUGUCCUCACCCACUUUUUGUGGCGUGAAGUAAGU
rnacentral:lncRNA from 1 species